rnacentral:rRNA from 1 species
AAAAAUCGAUUCCCUGAGUAGCGGCGAGCGAAACGGGAAGAGCCCAAACCAACAAGCUUGCUUGUUGGGGUUGUAGGACACUCUAUACGGAGUUACAAAAGAACAUGUUAGACGAAUCAUCUGGAAAGAUGAAUCAAAGAAGGUAAUAAUCCUGUAGUCGAAAACAUAUUCUCUCUUGAGUGGAUCCUGAGUACGACGGAGCACGUGAAAUUCCGUCGGAAUCUGGGAGGACCAUCUCCUAAGGCUAAAUACUCUCUAGUGACCGAUAGUGAACCAGUACCGUGAGGGAAAGGUGAAAAGUACCCCGGAAGGGGAGUGAAAGAGAACUUGAAACCGUGUGCUUACAAGUAGUCAGAGCCCGUUAAUGGGUGAUGGCGUGCCUUUUGUAGAAUGAACCGGCGAGUUACGAUCUGAUGCAAGGUUAAGCAGCAAAUGUGGAGCCGCAGCGAAAGCGAGUCUGAAUAGGGCGUUGAGUAUUUGGUCGUAGACCCGAAACCAGGUGAUCUACCCUUGGUCAGGUUGAAGUUCAGGUAACACUGAAUGGAGGACCGAACCGACUUACGUUGAAAAGUGAGCGGAUGAACUGAGGGUAGCGGAGAAAUUCCAAUCGAACUUGGAGAUAGCUGGUUCUCUCCGAAAUAGCUUUAGGGCUAGCCUCAAGUGAUGAUUAUUGGAGGUAGAGCACUGUUUGGACGAGGGGCCCCUCUCGGGUUACCGAAUUCAGACAAACUCCGAAUGCCAAUUAAUUUAACUUGGGAGUCAGAACAUGGGUGAUAAGGUCCGUGUUCGAAAGGGAAACAGCCCAGACCACCAGCUAAGGUCCCAAAAUAUAUGUUAAGUGGAAAAGGAUGUGGCGUUGCCCAGACAACUAGGAUGUUGGCUUAGAAGCAGCCAUCAUUUAAAGAGUGCGUAAUAGCUCACUAGUCGAGUGACACUGCGCCGAAAAUGUACCGGGGCUAAACAUAUUACCGAAGCUGUGGAUUGUCCUUUGGACAAUGGUAGGAGAGCGUUCUAAGGGCGUCGAAGCAUGAUCGCAAGGACAUGUGGAGCGCUUAGAAGUGAGAAUGCCGGUGUGAGUAGCGAAAGACGGGUGAGAAUCCCGUCCACCGAUUGACUAAGGUUUCCAGAGGAAGGCUCGUCCGCUCUGGGUUAGUCGGGUCCUAAGCUGAGGCCGACAGGCGUAGGCGAUGGAUAACAGGUUGAUAUUCCUGUACCACCUAGUAUCGUUUUAAUCGAUGGGGGGACGCAGUAGGAUAGGCGAAGCGUGCUGUUGGAGUGCACGUCCAAGCAGUAAGGCUGAGUGUUAGGCAAAUCCGGCACUCAUAAGGCUGAGCUGUGAUGGGGAGAGGAAAUUGUUUCCUCGAGUCGUUGAUUUCACACUGCCGAGAAAAGCCUCUAGAUAGAUAACAGGUGCCCGUACCGCAAACCGACACAGGUAGUCAAGAUGAGAAUUCUAAGGUGAGCGAGCGAACUCUCGUUAAGGAACUCGGCAAAAUGACCCCGUAACUUCGGGAGAAGGGGUGCUCUUUAGGGUUCACGCCCAGAAGAGCCGCAGUGAAUAGGCCCAAGCGACUGUUUAUCAAAAACACAGGUCUCUGCUAAACCGUAAGGUGAUGUAUAGGGGCUGACGCCUGCCCGGUGCUGGAAGGUUAAGAGGAGUGGUUAGCUUCUGCGAAGCUACGAAUCGAAGCCCCAGUAAACGGCGGCCGUAACUAUAACGGUCCUAAGGUAGCGAAAUUCCUUGUCGGGUAAGUUCCGACCCGCACGAAAGGCGUAACGAUUUGGGCACUGUCUCAACGAGAGACUCGGUGAAAUCAUAGUACCUGUGAAGAUGCAGGUUACCCGCGACAGGACGGAAAGACCCCGUGGAGCUUUACUGUAGCCUGAUAUUGAAAUUCGGCACAGCUUGUACAGGAUAGGUAGGAGCCUUUGAAACGUGAGCGCUAGCUUACGUGGAGGCGUUGGUGGGAUACUACCCUAGCUGUGUUGGCUUUCUAACCCGCACCACUUAUCGUGGUGGGAGACAGUGUCAGGCGGGCAGUUUGACUGGGGCGGUCGCCUCCUAAAAGGUAACGGAGGCGCUCAAAGGUUCCCUCAGAAUGGUUGGAAAUCAUUCAUAGAGUGUAAAGGCAUAAGGGAGCUUGACUGCGAGACCUACAAGUCGAGCAGGGUCGAAAGACGGACUUAGUGAUCCGGUGGUUCCGCAUGGAAGGGCCAUCGCUCAACGGAUAAAAGCUACCCCGGGGAUAACAGGCUUAUCUCCCCCAAGAGUUCACAUCGACGGGGAGGUUUGGCACCUCGAUGUCGGCUCAUCGCAUCCUGGGGCUGUAGUCGGUCCCAAGGGUUGGGCUGUUCGCCCAUUAAAGCGGUACGCGAGCUGGGUUCAGAACGUCGUGAGACAGUUCGGUCCCUAUCCGUCGUGGGCGUAGGAAAUUUGAGAGGAGCUGUCCUUAGUACGAGAGGACCGGGAUGGACAUACCUCUGGUGUACCAGUUGUCGUGCCAACGGCAUAGCUGGGUAGCUAUGUAUGGACGGGAUAAGUGCUGAAAGCAUCUAAGCAUGAAGCCCCCCUCAAGAUGAGAUUUCCCAACUUCGGUUAUAAGAUCCCUCGAAGAUGACGAGGUUAAUAGGUUCGAGGUGGAAGCGUGGUGACACGUGGAGCUGACGAAUACUAAUCGAUCGAAGACUUAAUCAAUUUUUAAA